CUCUCCUCCGGUCUUGCGGAGACGGCUUCCAUCUCUUUCGAAGUCUCCGCUUAACUUCCCUCAGGGAAACGGUGUUUAGAGGGAGAAAGUGCUCACUUUUCUAUUCUUUGUGCCAAGAAUACUUUCUGGGCUGCUGUAUCUGAACCUGGUUUCAUUCCUCCAGGGUGAGCAACGACGCCGGCUGAAAAAUACCUCGGGUCUCCUGACCCUCAGGAUGCAUUAACCCACAAAGGCAAAUGCAGUAAACUUUGACAGUUGUGUCUAACUGUGGAAGGUUCCCCUGAUGCCAGCUGGCAGCCAACAUGGUGCUCUGACAAAUAUGUCAUCUUAUAUCUAUGCAUCAGGAUCAAGAAAAGUUGGACUCUUCUGAGUACACUAAGCCAAGCUGAAGAACAGGACCCCCAGAUGGUUUAGCUUUUCCUAUGCUUGGUGAGAAAAGCAUGGAGCUGCCCAUAGGCAGCUGCUCCUUCACAGCUACAGCUGAAGAUAACAAUCCAGGCCUCAAAUCCAAGCAGUGUAAAGAAGCUGUGGACUUCAGAAGACCCAGGGUUCGAGCUUCACUAACAGCUUUCCCACAUAAAAACAAGUGAAA